rnacentral:lncRNA from 1 species
UGAUCAACAGCAGGGGCAAAUCAACAUGUGGGACAUGUGGGGAAGGUCGGUGGGAGGCCACCGACCCUGGAACCGCCUUUGAUGUGGGGUCGGGCGACCCCAUUUCUGGGCCUCUGGGCCCACCAGCAGUGUCCACAGGGGUCCCUUAUGUCGGUGGACUAGGUGGCACACCUGGGUCCCACCAAAGAGGGGUCGGGCGACCCCCUCCCUGUGGGCCCAGGGUGUCACCUGUUGUCCCCUCGAUCUCCUCUUGAUGAUUCUGAUGUUGGCUUUGUCAAAUAAUGUCUUG